UUCGCCGCGCACGUUGGCGCAGGUUGUCCUGCGUAGCCCCACGCCCCAGUCCGCCGCAGCAGCGCCCCCGUGUAGCGGCGUAGGUCGUCGCGCCGACAACUGCAGGCUGCGGCGUGUAGCCCCACGCCCCCACGCAGUCUGCCGCAGCAGCUCCCCCGCGCAGGUCGUCGCGCCGCCGCAACUGCAGGCUGCGGUGUGUAGCCCCAACCCCAAGCCCCUCGCGCGGGCUGUCCCAACAGCGCCCCGGGCAGGUCGUCGCGCCGCCAGAACUGCAGGCUGCGGCAUGUAGCCCCAAGCACUCGUGCAAGCCGUCGCAGCAGCGCCCCCCGCGCAGGCUGUCGCCCCCUUUGCAACUUCCGUCACCGACUCCCUGGUUGAGGUACUGCCAGUCCUGAAAGUGUGAUGUACUAUUGUUUAUUUCAGCUUCAUAUGAGCUUCCAAGUACGUGCACUUGUUCGGUCAAAAAAUGUUUCUACAAAAUGAUUGGCAUCGAUCUCAGAUCAGUAAUAUGACAGAUGUGUCUAAGAGUGGUGGCCUCUCUUCAUGUGUUUUCAUUCUUCUUCUUCUAUUAAAUUUGCUACUCUAGCACAUCAUUUAAUGUCAUCUAUUGUAGUUCUGUUGAUGAUGCCGCUCUCCUUGAGACUUGCAUAUCAUCAUAUUAUAUUAGGUAAACAGCUACCUUUCAGCCGUGCAAUAUUUGAACUAAAUUAUCGAGGAACAUCGUUAACUAGGAGGUACUCCUAACAAUGUUUUUUUUCUCAAUAGUUGAUUUAAUUUUUUUCUUAGAUGUUGGGUUAGCCUUAGCAGGAGCUGUUUUUGCUGGUGCAUCUGAACUACAUUGGUUUAAUUUAGUGAUUUCGUUCUAUUAUUAAUAAGCACCUGCUGAAAUAGAUGCAUAGAUUGACUUCAACAUGCAAGUAUUUUAGAGGAUCAGACUAAGCCCUUCUGUUUGUGUGGAUUGAUAGGCUUCUCCAACACUGUGUUGCGCUUGACGUUAGCUCUACUGCAAUCAUGUAUCUGAUCUGAAAUAUUUGCACAUCUAUAUUGCCAGAUGACUCAAUCAUCCCCGACAAGAUGCUAUUAAUCUUCAAUUUUAUUAACAUGCUAUGCUAAUUUGGUAUCCCAUACAAGAUGAUAUUGGUCUUCAACUUUAUUAGCUGCUAUUCUAAUUAUAGUUAUCUCAGGAUAAUUAAGUAUCUUAUAAUUCACAACGACUGAAGAAUUGUCAAUUUCACGGAUUUACAAGUGUCCACACCAUAUUAUGAUACAAUAUGAACCUGGAUUUGUGGUGAUUGCGCACGGCAACUCUGGUAGGAAGACAUUCUUGCAAAAAGGGCACCUUUCUGAAAAAGGGUGUGGGAGUACGGAGGUGGCUUCGAUACAGGGAGAAGAAGAAAAUGCUUAAAGGUGUGAGGGAUAUAUUAGUAUGCCAAUUGAAAGAAAUAAAACAGGAUCUUUUUUUUUGUUGUUCUGUAACAUCAAAUCUGUUUUGUUAUUAUUCCAUCAUUAUGCACCAGUUUCAUUUGUAAUACUUACUCCGUCUGAAAAUAUGUGUCUCAAUUUUAUCUAGGUAUGGUUGUAUCUCUAACUAAAAUGCAUCUACAUACAUCGGUAUCUAGACAAAAGAGACCUAUUUUUAGAUGGAGGGGGUAGAAGAAGCUUGAUCUCCAUGUGGCCUCACAUUACUUUGCUUCCAGUCCAUCUCAUCUCUGAGUUUUUUUUUAUAUGUGCAGAUUCUUUCUGAAGUAUUAAUUGAUGUUAUCAACAGUAACGUUUUCCAGACAUGUCAUCCUCCAAGCUCACUCCCUUCAGGAAAUAACCAAUGGGCAAAAUAAAGGUAUUGGAUGAAGGGUUGAAGGCAAUUGCUGUGUUUAAAUCGAUUUUUUAAUUACGGGAAUAUAAAGUAAGAUGUGCCAUAUAUGCAUAUGCAGAUCCAAAAAAGGCCAAAAGCUUGUAUUCCAUUAACAAAACCCCGGGACAAAACGUUCCAACUGUUGGUAUUAACCUCCUAGAUCUUGUAUUCUUGCAUGGACAGCUUAGUGUUGCAUUGCCAAGGGGUGUGUCAAGGUAGACCACUCGGAUUUUGGCAAAGCCAAAUAAAGUCAUAGAUCCCAUGGGGAAAACCACAAAGAGUAUUGUGUUAGGGAUGUCUUGGAGGGAUGAAAUAGAUUUGUUCUUCCUUAUGAGCUUGCUCAUCUUUUUAUGAUAUUGCUCCUUUCCCUUUGUUCUGAUUUAAAUAUGUGUUUUGCAACAGCUUCAACAGUUUUUUUACCUGGUUAUGAAAUGGGAGCUUUUCCACAUAUAUCUUGAUGAUCUGUACAAUUUUUUACAUCUUGAGAAUGGAGCUGAUACUUGGCUUCUUGGUUUCAUUUCUUCUCAUAGUCUUGAUGUUCGCUUUUUCUAUUGUUCCAUCAAUGAAAUUUAGAUUGUUGUUGUUUUGCUCAAGAUUUUACAUUGCUAUAAUUCUUCGCCAUUCGCAAUCAUUCAGAUUGUCCUUUUUUGGUCCCUGGAACUUUCAUGUAUUUUAUUUCUAUGAAUUUACAUUUCAUCACGAGAACCUGACAUCACAGCACUGGUGGAGGUCACGAGCGGUAAUCUACGGCAUCGGUGUGGCAUUCAGAACUUGUCAGGAAGGAUACAAGUUCAUUGUGGCCAUGCCUACCCAAAUCCACUUGCUAAGCAGAUACUGUUGCCGUACCUUGGCGCUGAAGUUAUAUUAGUUGGUAAGAAGCUAAUAUUGUACUCCUCAUAUCAAAUGUCAGAUUGUAACAUGCUUGUCUCCUGCAAAUCCUGCACAACAUGGAUUCAAAGUGUUACUUGAUACAGUUGAACAGCUGAGGAAGGAUGUGCCAGAUGUGUAUGGUCUAGGUCAAUUCACCAAUUCUACAAAUCCUGAUGCGCACUUCAGAGGGACUGUUAACGUGAUAUCUCUACUCUUACCGAUAGUCUGAUACUAGACUAACAAAUGAACCUCAACAGUAAUGUAUUAAACUAAAAAAUGUUCUUCGGGCCUCAGAUAUGGAAAGGUACAGCAGGCAAAGCGGAUAUAAGCACCAUCACAGGCGUGGGGAGAUAUCUCAAGAUGAAGAGCCCCAUCCAGUAAUUUCAGCGUUGUACCAGAUGAAAAUCCAGUAAUUUCAGGCAAGAAACUUGGCCACGGAAAGUGAUAUUUACAACUUAAUCUACUACACAGAACAUACUGAAUAAAUGAUACUAGGCAUGGCAUGCAUGAUAACACUCAUCAGUAACCUUGCUUCCUUUCUUGGGUUGUAAAUGGGAGGAAUACCUUGCCUGCCUAUGAUUUGUAGGUAGCGUGUCAACCUUUUAGAAAAUACUAGGAUUGCUUCUCGGAAUAUCUUCAAGGGAAAAUGCAGCUGCCUACAUAAAAGGCAAGCUAUUUCUUUAAGAAACUGAUAUUUUUUUCGUUUUCAAAUAAUGCAGUGAAGAUUAUAUAAAUUUGGUUAUUCUGUUGUCCUCAGUUUUUUGUUACCUCCUGAUUGGUUGCAUGAAGAGAGAACAGGGGAAACAUGAUUGUGACAAUGUUUUCAACUGGUGCAGAGAGGUAUCUUAACAUGGAGCUCUUUUCACAGAUGAGGGGAGUGUGUCAACGUCAACAUGACCUUCUGAUAUUCAGCUCAAAGGAAUGACGGUGUCGGGGAAUCGACUCUGCGGAUAUUCUGAUCAAAUGUGCCCAGAAGAAUAUGUGCAAAUACCACGUCCCGGGCAAGUAUGACUAGAGGUUUCGGUAGUAGCCUUUAGUGAUGCCAGUUCUAAUAAAUUUGAAUGGGUUGGAUGUGUCAGUCAAGUGAUAGCAGAAAACAUUGUUUACAUCCAUGAGUAAUAAGAUAUGCCAACUUCCUCGGGAGAGCGUCCUGCGUCUGUCACCUUGGCAUUUGUUCGUGCUAAAUCAAUUGUUCACAUUCUAUGUGUGUCUUGUCUAAGGUUAAGUUGUUUACCUGAUGUAGCGGUA